rnacentral:rRNA from 1 species
AUGAACGCUGGCGGCGUGCCUAAUACAUGCAAGUCGAGCGAACGGACGAGAAGCUUGCUUCUCUGAUGUUAGCGGCGGACGGGUGAGUAACACGUGGAUAACCUACCUAUAAGACUGGGGUAACUUAGGGAAACCGGAGCUAAUACCGGAUAAUAUUUUGAACCGCAUGGUUCAAAAGUGAAAGACGGUCUUGCUGUCACUUAUAGAUGGAUCCGCGCUGCAUUAGCUAGUUGGUAAGGUAACGGCUUACCAAGGCAACGAUGCAUAGCCGACCUGAGAGGGUGAUCGGCCACACUGGAACUGAGACACGGUCCAGACUCCUACGGGAGGCAGCAGUAGGGAAUCUUCCGCAAUGGGCGAAAGCCUGACGGAGCAACGCCGCGUGAGUGAUGAAGGUCUUCGGAUCGUAAAACUCUGUUAUUAGGGAAGAACAUAUGUGUAAGUAACUGUGCACAUCUUGACGGUACCUAAUCAGAAAGCCACGGCUAACUACGUG